rnacentral:rRNA from 1 species
GAGUUUGAUCCUGGCUCAGAUUGAACGCUGGCGGCAGGCCUAACACAUGCAAGUCGAGCGGAUGAGUGGAGCUUGCUCCAUGAUUCAGCGGCGGACGGGUGAGUAAUGCCUAGGAAUCUGCCUGGUAGUGGGGGACAACGUUUCGAAAGGAACGCUAAUACCGCAUACGUCCUACGGGAGAAAGUGGGGGAUCUUCGGACCUCACGCUAUCAGAUGAGCCUAGGUCGGAUUAGCUAGUUGGUGAGGUAAAGGCUCACCAAGGCGACGAUCCGUAACUGGUCUGAGAGGAUGAUCAGUCACACUGGAACUGAGACACGGUCCAGACUCCUACGGGAGGCAGCAGUGGGGAAUAUUGGACAAUGGGCGAAAGCCUGAUCCAGCCAUGCCGCGUGUGUGAAGAAGGUCUUCGGAUUGUAAAGCACUUUAAGUUUGGGAGGAAGGGCAGUAAGUUAAUACCUUGCUGUUUUGACGUUACCGACAGAAUAAGCACCGGCUAACUUCGUGCCAGCAGCCGCGGUAAUACGAAGGGUGCAAGCGUUAAUCGGAAUUACUGGGCGUAAAGCGCGCGUAGGUGGUUCGUUAAGUUGGAUGUGAAAGCCCCGGGCUCAACCUGGGAACUGCAUCCAAAACUGGCGAGCUAGAGUAUGGCAGAGGGUGGUGGAAUUUCCUGUGUAGCGGUGAAAUGCGUAGAUAUAGGAAGGAACACCAGUGGCGAAGGCGACCACCUGGGCUAAUACUGACACUGAGGUGCGAAAGCGUGNGGAGCAAACAGGAUUAGAUACCCUGGUAGUCCACGCCGU